rnacentral:rRNA from 1 species
AUUGAACGCUGGCGGCAGGCUUAACACAUGCAAGUCGAGCGGGGGAAGGUAGCUUGCUACCGGACCUAGCGGCGGACGGGUGAGUAAUGCUUAGGAAUCUGCCUAUUAGUGGGGGACAACAUCUCGAAAGGGAUGCUAAUACCGCAUACGUCCUUCGGGAGAAAGCAGGGGAUCUUCGGACCUUGCGCUAAUAGAUGAGCCUAAGUCGGAUUAGCUAGUUGGUGGGGUAAAGGCCUACCAAGGCGACGAUCUGUAGCGGGUCUGAGGGGAUGAUCCGCCACACUGGGACUGGGACACGGCCCAGACUCCUACGGGAGGCAGCAGUGGGGAAUAUUGGACAAUGGGGGGAACCCUGAUCCAGCCAUGCCGCGUGUGUGAAGAAGGCCUUAUGGUUGUAAAGCACUUUAAGCGAGGAGGAGGCUACUCUAGUUAAUACCUAGGGAUAGUGGACGUUACUCGCAGAAUAAGCACCGGCUAACUCUGUGCCAGCAGCCGCAGUAA